rnacentral:tRNA from 1 species
GCGUUGGUGGUUUAGUGGUAAAAUUCAUCGUUGCCAAGAGUUGCAGGUCCUCAAGGAAAUCCCCCUCAAGGGGUUCUCCUAGGAUCUCAACGCCAGCUUCGAUGAGCCCCGGGUUCGAUUCCCGGCCGACGCA